UACCUCUACCAUGAGUUGACGUAGUUUUGACAUCUUACUCUACUACAGUAGUAAAUGUGACAACGCAACUACAAUAGAUGGCUUUAAUGUUCGUACCAUGAGAUGUUUUGAUGUUAACUACCCUCGCUGUAGUUGCAUCUAUAUCGUUCGUAGUAUCGUUCAUUAUGUAUCAAUUUUAAGCAUAGUAGUUCUAACUCUUUUUAUUCGCAUCACUUAGAAAGAGAGAAAAGACUGUUUAUGUUUCAAAUCUAAACGGUGAUAUUAACCAACAAAAAAAUAUAAUACAUCGGUUACACAUAAUUUGGUAUUAUUGUGAGCUUUUUUAAUUUAUUAGAAUUGCUUUGACAUUGAUUGUCAGCCGGACAUUUUUGUAACAUGUGUGUUUCCGUGACAACCCGGGAGUUCGAAAAAAUAAUAUUUGUUAAAUUAUUUAAAAAAAUGCCUAAGAGAAGUGCAACUCAAUUUGAGACGAUGGUAGAUUUUUGGAAAGGUAAGUUUUCCAUUAGAUAAUAAUAUUUCAUACAUUUAUUUACUUAGUUUAAUUAUCAAAGAAGUAUGUUUUUUUGCGCCAGGGAAUGCUUGAGCCUUUUUUACCAAAGGAACGUUGUGAUAUGACCCUUUGCUUCCUCUUAGAUGAGGAGUAUAGAAGACUGUAGUGGUUAGGUUGAUUAAUAGGUAUUUCUUGUAUAAUGUUGUGUACAAAAUAUGAUUUUGUUUAUACAGAAGUGGAGACCUAAGCAAAACCUAAGUCCGCUACAUGGGCGAGAGUAGGCGUCAGCGCAGUCUGAAGCAGCCUUCAAGGACUGCUACAUGGUGGGACCUGUCGGAAAAUAUAGCAGUAAGUGCGGUGAAUCCGCGAGGGCAACCAUCCCCAGAGAAGCUUCAUUCCAGUGGAAUACCUACACAGCCUGACAACGUGACAUGUGGUGAUGUAAAUUCAGCAACAAGCUCGAUGGCAAGACUUGUUGCAGCAACUUCUGUUAAAUAAAUAAAUAAACAUAUUUUUUCAAUGUG